rnacentral:lncRNA from 10 species
GGACGUUCACGCCCGCACCUUUCCGGCCUGUGGCGGUUUCAGCCCCAGACCGUCUGCCUCCGGAGGAUUUCUGGCCAUCCAAGAACAAACUUCCGAAUCUCCAAAUUUCCAAGCCUUGGAGUUGUCAAACCCACUCAAGUUGAGUCAACAAUGACCCACAGCACCUACCAGAAAUACUUCCCUCAAUUGCAAGACUUGGCAUUUAAAACUGGAAGAUUCUUACCACAUGUGCUCCUGGGCUUUGCGGACUUGAUUGUUUCCAUCUAGGCUUUUGACCUGUGUCACAAAGAAGUAGGAUCUAGGUUUUAGGAUAUAUAACGAACAUCUACAAAUCCGAAGAGGACAAACAAUACACUUGGCAAUAGACAUUGGGUACAAAUAGGUAAUUCACAGCAGAAGAAACCUAAAAUGGUCAAUAUGUAUAAUAUAUGAAAAGAUAACCCAAUCUCUUUACUGCUCAGGGAAAUGUAAAAUUAAAACAACAGUGAGAUAUAAUACCAUUUUACAUCUACCAGAUGUUGUGCUUCAUAUUUUUAUCACUGGAGCUUAGUAGAGGGUGGACACUCAAUAAAUGUCUGUGGUCAUUCUAGGUUGUGGUUUCUGGGGUGUUUUAGAUGAGCUCUCCAUAAUUAAAGAGAUACAAAUUAAAAACA